rnacentral:rRNA from 1 species
AGGGCUAUAUUAUAUAGGAAAAGGAAACUUCGACAAAGCAAUACAAAUUCUAACAAGGCUUUUAUCAAAAACAAAAAGAGCAGACGCUUAUUAUUAUUUAGGAGUGGCCUAUCAAAAUAUAGGACAAUACGAAAAUUCCAUCCUAGCCUUUGAAAAUGCUCUAGAAAAAGGUGGAGAAUUUAGAGAGCUUUAUAACGAUUACUCAAUAAGCUUAUACGCAACAGAAAAACCAAUAGAUGCAAUAGAAAUAAUAAAUCAAGGAUUAAAAAAAUACCCAGAAGAUCCUAGAAUGAUCUACAAUAGGUUGCAAAUAAAUUUAUCACUAAAUAAUAUCAACAAAGCCAAAGAAGAUAUAGAAAAUUUAGAAAGCUAUGACGACCUUAGCGACGAAUUAUCAACAAACUUACAAAUAAUUAAAGAACAAUAUAAAAUAAAUUAAUCUCAAAUUAAAUUUUGAGAUUUUUUUUAUUGCAGUUGAAUAAAAAUAGAAAAAAAGUAUGUUUAUAAUGAAUAACGUUUACUUAAAUAGGAGGAAAUUAUGAAAAUAAUAGAAACAAAAAAUGCACCAGGUGCAGUAGGAGCAUAUUCACAAGGAAUAGUAUCAAACGGAUUUGUAUAUUCAUCAGGACAACUACCAUUAGUUCCAGAAACAGGUGAAUUAAUUUCAGAUGACGUUAAAAAAGCAACAAGACAAUCAUUAGAAAAUGUAAAAGCUAUCGUAGAAGCAGGUGGCUCAUCAGUAGAAAAAAUAGUAAAAGUAAAUAUUUUCUUAGAUGACGUAAACGACUUUGCAGCAGUAAACGAAGCUUAUGCAGAAUUUUUUGGAGAUCACAAACCAGCAAGAAGCUGCGUAGAAGUUGGAAAACUUCCAAAAAAUGGAUUAUUAGAAAUCGAAGCAAUAGCAGAAAUCUAAUAAAUUAAACAAAU